rnacentral:rRNA from 1 species
CGCGAAUGGCUCAUUACAACAGCUAUAAUUUACUUGAUCUUGACUUCCUACUUGGAUAACUGUGGUAAUUCUAGAGCUAAUACAUGCACCAAAGCUCCGACCUUACGGGAAGAGCGCAUUUAUUCGAACAAAACCAAGCGGCUUCGGCCGUUCGCAGUUGACUCAGAAUAACUAAGCUGAUCGCAUGGUCUUGAACCGGCGACGUGUCUUUCAAGUAUCUGCCUUAUCAACUUUCGAUGGUAGUGUAUCUGACUACCAUGGUGGUGACGGGUAACGGAGGAUAAGGGUUCGACUCCGGAGAAGGGGCCUGAGAAAUGGCCACUACGUCUAAGGAUGGCAGCAGACGCGCAAAUUACCCACUCUCAGAAUGAGGAGGUAGUGACGAGAAAUAACGAGACCGUUCUCUACGAGGCCGGUCAUCGGAAUGGGUACAAUUUAAACCCUUUAACGAGUAUCUAUGAGAGGGCAAGUCUGGUGCCAGCAGCCGCGGUAAUUCCAGCU